rnacentral:lncRNA from 1 species
CAGUAGCACCUCCGCAUUUAACCGCCACUAUGGAUUUGUACUCUACCAUUCAAAAUGCAUAGAUCAGUUGUUGCUUCAAGCAUAACAUGAGUAUUCUUAGCCGUGUUUCUCCAUACUGAUGAUGAGUAUUCUUACAAUUGUUUCUUCAAGCUGACAUUGAAGUUUAUUACUACCGCCUCUUCGAGUUAACCUUGAGUAUUAUUAUCACCGUCUCUCCUGGCUAAGCUUGAGUUUUGUUACCAACACCUCUCUAGAUUGACCUUGAGUUUUAUUAUCACCGUCUCUCCAAAUUGAGUUUGAG